GCCGACGUCGCAUAAUGGUAUUGCAGCAGUCUCGAAAACUGCCGUCCGCAAGGACUUGUAGGUUCAAAUCCUGCCGUCGGCG
rnacentral:tRNA from 1 species